rnacentral:rRNA from 1 species
GACGAACGCUGGCGGCGUGCUUAACACAUGCAAGUCGAACGGUGAAGCGACUUCCUUUUUGGUGGGUGUGGAUGAGCGGCGAACGGGUGAGUAAGACGUGAGUAUACUGCCCACUUUUUCUGGAUAACGGCAUGAAAGUGUGGCUAAUACGGGAUAUUCUGGGUCUGUCGCAUGAUGGGUCUGGGAAAGAUUUUGUUUCGGUGGGGGAUGGGUUCGCGGCCUAUCAGCUUGUUGGUGGGGUGAUGGCCUACCAAGGCGGUGAGGAGUAGCCGGCCUGAGAUGGUGGACGGCAACACUAGUGCUGCGAGACGGCGCAGACUACGGCGGGAAGCAGCAGGGAAGAAUACUGCACAAUGGGCGCAAGGCUGAAGCAGCGACGCCGCAGGGAGGAUGGACGCCUGCGCGUUGUGAACCGCUAUCGGCAGUGAAGCAAUCCUUACUCGUCUGUGCGUGGGUUGACGGUAGCUGGAUAAGAAGCGCCGGCUAACUACGUG